AGUACUUACUGUCCUCCAAAGUCGACGUAGAACCAUCUCUGCAGCAGCUCAUAAGUCACCAACGUGACGGCAAACUGUGGGGAGGAUCUGAAGACACGAGCUGACAGGAGAAGGAUCUUCCUGAAGCAGUCGAUUACUCCGUUGUAGGUCGUCUGUCCUGCUCGAGCUGCCACCUGGAGUCUGGUCUUGAUGACAUCAGCAGGGGUGACCAGCGAGGCUGCAGUAUCUACACACACUCCACUGCUGUAGAGUUCAAUGAUGACGGACGAUGGUGGACCCAGAUUUCAAAGUGGAAAAUAUCACA